rnacentral:rRNA from 1 species
AUGGCCGAUGUAAGUGCAGAGUGUAUGGCUGAGUACGACGGCAUUGUCAGCAGGAUGUUUGAUAGCGAGGAAGAGGGUUUUGAGUUCUAUAACAAGUAUGCUCUUGAGAAAGGCUUUAGUGUGAGGAAAGGAUAUGUUGAGUGGGAUGAAGCGAACGAGAAGAUAAUUCUGAGGAAACUUGUCUGUAGUCGUGAAGGUUGCCGUGAAGAGAAACACAUGAAGAGGAAGAGAGAAGAUAGGAAGAGGAAGCCACGGAAUAUCACUCGUGUGGGGUGUAAAGCGAAAUUUGUCAUUGCAAGAGUCGUGAAAACAGGGCGGUGGUUUGUGAAAGAUUUCAUCGAUGAACACAACCAUCCUCUGGCCCCACGAGACCUUUCUUGCUUUCUGCGUUCCCACAGAAGAAUCAGCGACGAGAAGAAAGCGGACAUUAUAGAGAUGGAAAGUGUUGGAAUCAAGAAACACAAAAUCAUGGAUGUGUUGUGCAUGCAGUACGGUGGAUAUGACCAUGUUGGAUGCACGACGAGGGACAUCUAUAACUUCUGCCAUCGCUACAAGCAGGAAACGGUCGCUGCCGGUGAUGCUCAGACGGUGAUCCGUCACAUGAUGGCGCGGCAAGAGAGAGACCCAGAUUAUUUCUUCAAAUACUUGGUUGAUAAAGCUGGGCAUCUGAAGGGAUUGUUCUGGUCCGAUACUUAA